rnacentral:rRNA from 1 species
UACGUAGGGUGCAAGCGUUGUCCGGAAUUAUUGGGCGUAAAGAGCUUGUAGGCGGUUUGUCGCGUCUGCUGUGAAAUUUCGGGGCUCAACCCCGAACUUGCAGCGGGUACGGGCAGACUAGAGUGUGGUAGGGGAGACUGGAAUUCCCGGUGUAGUGGUGAAAUGCGUAGAUAUCGGGAGGAACACCAGUGGCGAAGGCGACUUCCUGGCCUGUUCUUGACGCUGAGGCGCGAAAGCUAGGGGAGCAAACGGGG